UCCCAAAAACUUUAUGUCUUCCCGUUUCAGCUUCCACAUCUGUUUCUGCAAAUUUGUUUUCUACUUCUCUGCUUCGAUUCUCAAAGUCUAGAUCUGCUUUCUCUUCAAAUUUGUCCCUAUUCUAUGCUCGAAGCUUGUUGUCUUCUCCAUCAGUCGUGCAAUCUUCUCCAAGCUUUCUCUCUCUCGCUCACGUCUCUCUUUCUGUGCAAGUUUUCUCUUUUACAGAUCUGUUCAUUUAUAGGCAGAAAAAAAAUAAAAAAAACUAAAAUCCCGCACAUAUCUUCCUAUUUUUGCUUUAGAUUUCUAUUGUACGCCUCUUUCUCUUUUUUCUUCUCUUGUUCCAUUCUGCAAAUCUCUUUUUGUUUUUCAAAUUGGCGUCGUUUUGGG
rnacentral:lncRNA from 1 species